rnacentral:rRNA from 1 species
UACGAAGGGGGCUAGCGUUGCUCGGAAUUACUGGGCGUAAAGGGCGCGUAGGCGGAUAUUUAAGUCGGGGGUGAAAGCCCAGGGCUCAACCCUGGAACAGCCUUCGAUACUGGAUAUCUUGAGUACGGGAGAGGUGUGUGGAACUCCGAGUGUAGAGGUGAAAUUCGUAGAUAUUCGGAAGAACACCAGUGGCGAAGGCGACACACUGGCCCGUUACUGACGCUGAGGCGCGAAAGCGUGGGGAGCAAACAGGGAUUAAGAUACCCUU